rnacentral:rRNA from 1 species
UACGUAGGUCCCGAGCGUUGUCCGGAUUUAUUGGGCGUAAAGCGAGCGCAGGUGGUUUAUUAAGUCUGGUGUAAAAGGCUGUGGCUCAACCAUUGUAUGCAUUGGAAACUGGUAGACUUGAGUGCAGGAGAGGAGAGUGGAAUUCCAUGUGUAGCGGUGAAAUGCGUAGAUAUAUGGAGGAACACCGGUGGCGAAAGCGGCUCUCUGGCCUGUAACUGACGCUGAGGCUCGAAAGCGUGGGGAGCAAACAGG